rnacentral:rRNA from 1 species
GACGUAGGGCGCGAGCGUUGUCCGGAUUUAUUGGGCGUAAAGAGCUCGUAGGCGGCUUGUUGCGUCGACUGUGAAAACCCGCGGCUUAACUGCGGGCUUGCAGUUGAUACGGGCAGGCUAGAGUUCGGUAGGGGAGACUGGAAUUCCUGGUGUAGCAGUGAAAUGCGUAGAGAUCAUGAGGAAGACCAGUGGCGAAGGCGGGUCUCUGGACAGUUCCUGACACUGAGACACGAAGGCCAGGGGAGCAAACGGG